rnacentral:misc_RNA from 1 species
AACGCACAUUGCGCCCGCCAGUAUUCUGGCGGGCAUGCCUGUCCGAGCGUCAUUUCAACCCUCGAACCCCUCCGGGGGGUCGGCGUUGGGGAUCGGGGACCCCUCAGACGGGAUCCCGGCCCCGAAAUACAGUGGCGGUCUCGCCGCAGCCUCUCCUGCGCAGUAGUUUGCACAACUCGCACCGGGAGCGCGGCGCGUCCACGUCCGUAAAACACCCAACUUUCUGAAAUGUUGACCUCGGAUCAGGUAGGAAUACCCGCUGAACUUAA